rnacentral:lncRNA from 1 species
GGAAACAGUACCUCCAACUAUUGCAUUUAGACGAAACUGUUAAAAGGAAGAGCCUCUGUCAGAUCCAAAUGGUUUGGGUCCUGUACUGUGUUACUUGUACCAGAUGCUUAUGUAUCUGUUAAAUGUGGAAGUCGAUUUUGAUGAUAUUCUUAGAAGCUGCUUUAAUUUUCCUGAGACUUUGUGUGUUGGCUUUUGUCUCAAAAUAGCAGGAUUCACAUUGCUUUUGGGAUGCGAUCACUUGUUUGAAUGAGCUUCCUUAUGUCCAAAGGUUUUCAUGAUCAUUGGAUUAUCUUUAAUGAAACUUAAAAAGAACAAUUUCUAGUUAAAGUAUAUUCACGUACAUGGUAAUUGGUGGUUUCUGCAAGUCUCUGUCAGCAGUGAGCUGCUGGCAAGCAGGGCGGCCUUGGUGGAGCUCUUAUUUGCACCCGGUAUGGCUCUUGUGGGAAGGAGGGAGAACCACCUGCAGCUUCACGUUUGUUCACGUUUUUUUCAGGAUGGCACUGGAUCUUUAAAACGCAGUGGUUCCUUUAGCAAACUCCGGGCUUCCAUUAGACGCAGCAGUGAGAAGCUGGUUAGGAAGCUGAAGGGAGGAAGUUCACGAGAGAGUGAGCCAAAGAACCCCGGCAUGAAGCGUGCCAGCUCUCUGAAUGUCCUUAACGUGGGUGGCAAGGCUGCUGAAGAUCACUUUCAAGAACGAAAUAAUUGUCUGGCCGACUCGCGAGCUCUGAGUGCCAGCCACACUGACCUGGCCCACUGAGGGCCAGCAGGGCUAGGUAACCUGUCUUGGGAGUGUGAGACCGCCCCGCCCUGCCACGCCCCUCACCGCCCUGCCCGGAGGCGCCAGCCGCACUCCUUGGCUUCCUUUCCUAGAUAGUGACGUCCACCAACCUUGGAGGUGCCUUUUCAAAACACCCGGGAGGCCGUGCCUCAGCAUUCUGUUACCCGGCCUGCAGCCCCAGUGCCAGGAGCCGCCCCGACCGCGACCCGGCCAGGCUGGCUCAGGGAGGCCGAGGUGGCGCUGAGGUGGCUUCAGCACGCUGGGGAUUGGCUCCUGCUCACGGAUGCUGUUGCAUUUCCUGCCUGCCACCUUUUUGCCACGACACCAAACUCUCUUUUAAAUUGUAAUAUUGUAAUAAGGCUGUAAAUUAAGAAUCUGGAAACAUAAAGUACCCCUUUCAGAACGAUAGGCAUUUAGUGAUCUAUGGCAGUAAAGCCUGAAGCUUAGCGGACACUGGUCAGUGGGAAGUGAAUUCCUUCCCAGCUGGAGCAUCUUCCGGGUCUCUCUUUCCAAGGUCCCCAUGCCUGUGGCCCUGGGGCCCCAUGCCCCCUUUUGAGCUGUGUUCUCCCGGACGCCCCUGCACACGAAGCCCAUAGAGACGUGUGUUUCACUUUUUUUUUUUUUUUGAGACGGAGUCUAACUCUGUCGCCCAGGCUGGAGUGCAGUGGCCCAAUCUCGGCCCACUGCAAGCUCCACCUCCCAGGUUCACGCCAUUCUCCUGCCUCAGCCUCCCGAGUAGCUGGGACUACAGGUACCCGCCAGGCGGAUCACAAGGUCAGGAGAUCGAGACCAUCCUGGCUAACACGGCGUUUCACUUUUGAAAAGCUUAAGCUUUAUGGAAUGAGGGAGCACGGUGGACUCUGACAGGAACCUUUUCAAAUCAAUGCUGAGGCUGUAUUUCUUAGCCGUCCACAAACUAGUCCAUAGGUAAAGAGCAUACAAAACAGACGCCGAGGUGAUCAGUGAUUCCAAAGGCUGACGCUCAGAAGCGCCACCUCCAUGCCAGCCAACUAGGCUACGGGAUGGAGGGCGGUCUGUGAAACACCAGCCAUCCCGUGAAAGCUCAGCUUGCCACUGUCAUGUAACAGGGCGGGUGGUGGCACAGCAGAGGCUCACACUUGUCACCUUCAGCCCCUAGAAGCUCCCCGUGGGGCACGAAGGCUGGGGACAGAGUGUCCUGAGGUUUUGUUACAAGGCUAGACUUUAAAAUACCUUUCAAAGUUUCAUCCCGCCUCAUGUCGCAGGACUGCUGUGUUUGUGAAAGCGCGUUUGUUUCCACAAGACAAGCUCCGUGUAGUCGCCAGCGGGUGCCUGGCCCAGGAGCUGCCCUGUGGAGCCAGCGUUGUCCCCGAGCUGCUCGCCUGUGGCCGUGGCUCCUUUUCUGAGGCUCCUGACUCCAUUCUUGCAGAUUCUGGUGGAUCAGGAGCUUACUUUCUAAAUGCUACAUAGAGGUGUUGAAGAAAAUUUCAUAGGUUCUGUAAUAGUGGAUGGGAUUAAAAGAAAAAAUGUUAAAUUUUAUAUAUAUAUAUGGCUGGGUGCGAUGGUUCAUGCCAGUAAUCCUAUAAUCUUAGCACUU